rnacentral:rRNA from 1 species
CGUACACGACCUACCUUACACUGAGGGAUAGCCCUGGGAAACUGGGAUUAAUACCUCAUGGUAUUAGAUUAUUGCGAUGAUCUAAUUAAAGGUUUCGGCUGGUGUAAGAUGGGUGUGCGUUAGAUUAGCUAGUUGGUAAGGUAACGGCUUACCAAGGCGACGAUCUAUAGGGGGCGUGAGAGCGUGGACCCCCACACGGGUACUGAGACACGGACCCGACUCCUACGGGAGGCAGCAGUAAGGAAUAUUGGACAAUGGGGGCAACCCUGAUCCAGCCAUCCCGCGUGCAGGAAGACGGCCCUAUGGGUUGUAAACUGCUUUUAGAAGGGAAGAAAAUUAUUCAUUUAUGAGUAACUGACGGUACCUUCAGAAUAAGCACCGGCUAACUCCGUGCCAGCAGCCGCGGUAAUACGGAGGGUGCAAGCGUUAUCCGGAAUCACUGGGUUUAAAGGGUGCGUAGGCGGAUAUAUAAGUCAGAGGUGAAAGCUCUGAGCUCAACUGAGGAAUUGCCUUUGAUACUGUAUAUCUUGAAUUGUGUUGAGGUU